UUAUCGUUUUUAUCCUUAUUCUAAAGAUCUAGAUUUGGUUAACUUUUACAGCUACCAACUCUGAUGGAAGCAAAGAAGCAGUCAACACAGCUCAACCAGCCACAACAACCGCCACAACAAUUAGUGGUCAGCACAUCUCAGCCAGCCACAUCAAUAAGCACUCAAGGAAGCUCAACCUCAGGAGUAACUAAUGUAUACAAGCUAAGCAAAGCCGAGCUCAAACACUACCAAUUGACACGCAUUGAGGAACCAGAAGAACACAUCGACCCAGACUACUUGCAUUAU
rnacentral:lncRNA from 1 species